CAUAUUUUAAAAUUUUUUACUGCAUAUAAAUCCUAGCCCUAGAUAUAAGUAAUAAUGUUCUACUGAGGGUCGCAUAAUAAUUAUUUCCUUUCUUAGGGCGCAAAUAAAAUGUUUAAAAAAAUGCACUUUAUUUAAUGAAUAAUUAUUUUUAAUAUACUUAUAGCUUCAAACUGUAGGCACUGAGAUAGUAUUAUUAAAUUAUUUCCAAACGUACCGAUAAUGGCGAAUACCGCAAAAACUAAAACUGGUCAGUGCGUAACACUGACCGUGGUCCUUGUGUUGUACCUGCAGGAAACAAACGACUUCGAAACCCCUAUAAUAAUUUCAAUAUAUGGUAUCUAAAUAAAAAUGGAUACCUAUAUAUCGAUCAGUUGAUUCACCGUACACAUUUGCACACGAUUCGUAUCAUCCGCCACAGGUUGUCAACAACCCCAAAAAUAUUUAACUCGAGGGACCGAAAAUCACCCAUUCUGAUGACUUGUUUUUGUGUUUUAUUUGGAAUAAGGCAUACAACAUUAUUUUACUAUAGUUAUGAUAAUUAAUUACUUUAUUUAUUUAAACGAUUCUCACAUUAAAUUGGAUACUAUUGGG